rnacentral:pre_miRNA from 1 species
UUGGUUUAAAUCAAUGUGAGUCUACAGUUUGACAAUAGUACUUGCAUAAAGUGGUGGGACAUAAAAUGAUUUCAUCCAA